UACGUAGGAUGCAAGCGUUAUCCGGAAUGAUUGGGCGUAAAGCGUCCGCAGGUGGCUGUGUAAGUCUGCUGUUAAAGAGUGAGGCUCAACCUCAUAAAGGCAGUGGAAACUACAUGGCUAGAGUGCGUUCGGGGCAGAGGGAAUUUCCGGUGGAGCGGUGAAAUGCAUUGAGAUCGGAAAGAACACCAACGGCGAAAGCACUCUGCUGGGCCGACACUGACACUGAGAGACGAAAGCUAGGGGAGCAAAUGGG
rnacentral:rRNA from 1 species